UACGUAGGGUGCAAGCGUUGUCCGGAAUUAUUGGGCGUAAAGAGCUCGUAGGCGGUUCGUCGCGUCGGCUGUGAAAUCCCGGAGCUCAACUCCGGGUCUGCAGUCGAUACGGGCGGACUCGAGUUCGGCAGGGGAGACUGGAAUUCCUGGUGUAGCGGUGAAAUGCGCAGAUAUCAGGAGGAACACCGGUGGCGAAGGCGGGUCUCUGGGCCGAUACUGACGCUCAUGCACGACAGCGUGGGGAUCAAACAGG
rnacentral:rRNA from 1 species